AAGUCGUAACAAGGUUUCCGUAGGUGAACCUGCGGAAGGAUCAUUAUCAUCCGAGAUUCUUUGUGUUUCACAACACAAAGCAAUCUAUCUACCAACCGUGAACUGUUUUUCACCUCCGAUUCAUAAGAGCUUCUGCAUUCUUGUCGUUGGCCCGAGAGGAGAAAACGACUGGUGCAGGAAUUGCUUCGGCGGUAUUAUGGAUUGGUUGUAUCUUUUUGACCUCUCACAUUUACCUUUUGAACAAAACCUUUUCAAUCUUUGUAUUGAACUGACUCUUGUGUUUUCUUCCUUUCGUUUUUUCGGAAACGAGGAAAAAACAUAAAAAGUUGUACGAAACAAAACGAACAACUCUUAGCAACGGAUAUCUUGGCUCUC
rnacentral:misc_RNA from 1 species